AACGCACCUUGCGCCCUCUGGUAUUCCGGAGGGCAUGCCUGUUUGAGCGUCAUUAAAUUCUCAACUUCAAUAGCUUUUACUAGCUUAUUGAUGCUUGGAUGUGGGAGCUUGCUGGCGUCUUAGAUGUUCGGCUCUCCUUAAAGUUAUUAGUGGAAACCUCUUUGUUGGUUUAUUCCUUAGUGUGAUAAUUAUCUACGCUAUGAAUAAUCUAAUGUUCCAUUGAGACUUGAGAUUUCUCAGUAGAAAUACUGGUCUGGGUACUGCAAUUAAAUUUGCUGUAUCUGUAAUCUCUCAGUAGCAAUACUGGUUUGGGCAUUGCAAUUAAAUUUGCUUUACCUGUAAGUCUCAGAGGAAAAGAAAUGUUCUGCUUUCUAACCGUUUAUGUAUAUAGACAAUUUAUUGACUAUUUGACCUCAAAUCAGGUAGGACUACCCGCUGAACUUAA
rnacentral:misc_RNA from 1 species